rnacentral:rRNA from 1 species
GACGAACCGUCCUAACGUUGUUCGGAAUCACUGGGCUUAAAGGGCGCGUAGGCGGCUUGCCAAGUCAGGGGUGAAAUCCUGCAGCUUAACUGUAGAAGGGCCUUUGAUACUGGCGAGCUCGAGGGAGGUAGGGGUAUGUGGAACUUCCGGUGGAGCGGUGAAAUGCGUUGAUAUCGGAAGGAACGCCGGUGGCGAAAGCGACGUACUGGACCUCUUCUGACGCUGAGGCGCGAAAGCUAGGGGAGCGAACGGG